UACAGAGGGGGCAAGCGUUGUUCGGAAUUACUGGGCGUAAAGGGCGCGUAGGCGGCCUGUUAAGUCGAACGUGAAAUCCCCGGGCUCAACCCGGGAACUGCGUCCGAUACUGGUAGGCUUGAAUCCGGGAGAGGGAUGCGGAAUUCCAGGUGUAGCGGUGAAAUGCGUAGAUAUCUGGAGGAACACCCGUGGCGAAGGCGGCCCUCUGGCUCGACCCUGACGCUGAGAGGCGAAAGCGUGGGGAGCGAACGGG
rnacentral:rRNA from 1 species